AUGCAAGUCGAGCGGUAGAGAGAAGCUUGCUUCUCUUGAGAGCGGCGGACGGGUGAGUAAUGCCUAGGAAUCUGCCUGGUAGUGGGGGAUAACGUUCGGAAACGGACGCUAAUACCGCAUACGUCCUACGGGAGAAAGCAGGGGACCUUCGGGCCUUGCGCUAUCAGAUGAGCCUAGGUCGGAUUAGCUAGUUGGUGAGGUAAUGGCUCACCAAGGCGACGAUCCGUAACUGGUCUGAGAGGAUGAUCAGUCACACUGGAACUGAGACACGGUCCAGACUCCUACGGGAGGCAGCAGUGGGGAAUAUUGGACAAUGGGCGAAAGCUGGAUCCAGCCAUGCCGCGUGUGUGAAGAAGGUCUUCGGAUUGUAAAGCACUUUAAGUUGGGAGGAAGGGUUGUAGAUUAAUACUCUGCAAUUUUGACGUUACCGACAGAAUAAGCACCGGCUAACUCUGUGCCAGCAGCCGCGGUAAUACAGAGGGUGCAAGCGUUAAUCGGAAUUACUGGGCGUAAAGCGCGCGUAGGUGGUUUGUUAAGUUGGAUGUGAAAUCCCCGGGCUCAACCUGGGAACUGCAUUCAAAACUGACUGACUAGAGUAUGGUAGAGGGUGGUGGAAUUUCCUGUGUAGCGGUGAAAUGCGUAGAUAUAGGAAGGAACACCAGUGGCGAAGGCGACCACCUGGACUAGUACUGACACUGAGGUCGAUACGUGGGGAGCAACACGGAUUUAGAGUCCCCUG
rnacentral:rRNA from 1 species